AAUUUUAUCAAUAACGGUGGUGCAGUAUUCUAGUCAAAGGUGCUAUAUCUGAAGACGGGCCUAAAAAUCCGUUAAGGGCACAUCGAUGAAGUUCCUGGUGCUGGCUUACGACGCCCAGUCGUGGGCUGGUGCUGGGAGUUAAGGGGGAUGGGGCGAUCCACAAUGGCAUGUGGGCGUUGACCCCGCCUCCGCGGAGACCUAAGUUUGUAGUUUAACACGCAGAUGGGGUGUUAAAUUAUGCCUUAGGAUAGAAACCUGUAUGCGGUUCUGCCCGAAAACAAGGGCUGUGUACAGUGUAGCCUGCCUUGAGUGGUAAUGGUGGAUACUACUUAGACCUGGAUUUUCAAAGGGGCCUAAUUUGAAAACCAGUGGUUGAAACCAUUAGUGCAAAAGAGGCUAGGAUAU
rnacentral:misc_RNA from 1 species